GUUACAGAAUACAUUUGCUCCACACAGGAGUUCUUAUCCGUUUCUUAGUAUUCAUUAAAUUUAACAUUUCACAGAACCAUGCAGACGAUUAGUGUAGUUUGCCUUGCGUUGUUGGUCAUCGCUUGUACCGUUGGCACAAGUGGCCAGCUUCAAUCAUUAGAAGCUACUCCAUUCAGCGUUCAAUAUGAUUCCAUCGAACAAUCAACCGCAACAGAUCAUCAACGGCUGGUCGCACGUAGUUCUUGUAGAGUUGAGGGUAACUGUCUCGUAAGCAAUGCUGUAUGCUAUGCUCUCUGUCAGCGGAAGGGAUACAAAUACGGAACAUGCGUUAACAGGGGUAGCCCACGGCUAUCUUGUGAAUGCUGUCGCUUUUGAUUGAUAAGGAAAUGCUGCUAUCGAUAAUUAUCUAUUCGAAUGACAGGAAUGGUUUGCAGUAGCCUUUGGAAAGUUUGUUUAUUAUAAUAUGGCAUUGAAGAAUAUAUUAAAAUGCAUUUAAAGUUCAAUUAAAUAGGAGGAGUUAUUGUUAAAAAUGAUCAAAAUAUAUUCCAAGUGGUUCGAAGCUAUUUUGUCAAAAUAUAUAAAUAAAAGCUGUAUGGCCUGGCCAUGUUGAGGGCCCUUAACAUUC